rnacentral:lncRNA from 1 species
CAAAAAUUUCUUUUUAAUAAAACAUUUCCUUAAGCAAAGACAUCAUUCCAAAACAUAAUCUGAGUAUAAGUUUUCAAAACACAUGUUUAUUAUCAGAGUAAACAUUCCCAAGCUGACUAAUCUAUGGUGUGUGCCAUGCGAUCACCCCGAGCUCCUCCCUCCGCUACCGGAAGUACCUGAAAAGAAAACUGAAAACCGUAAGCACGAAGCUUAGUGAGUUCCCCACCCUACCACAUACCAUGUGCAUAACUGCGCACUGCACAUACUGGGCCACGCCCUCUAACUAGCUGCAACUAACACAUACUGCAAGUACUGGGCCACGCCUGCUAUCCUGGCCCCGCCCUCUACCUCGGGCCUCGCUCGCUACAACGGCCCCGCCGCUCCAGGCCCCGCCUGGCUUCGAGCCCCGCUCGGAUACAUAUCUGUUUCACUUAGGCCUCGUCUGUCACAGGGCCUCGCCCACUAACAUAUAAUAGCACAUAAACAUAUCACAUAACAUUACAUAAGCUAAACAUAUACUAACAACUCUUGCUCUAAGGCCUCGCCUAUCUCUGGGCCCCGCCCGUGUCCUGCUACUGAUGAGUCAUGGAACCUCGUCCAUACUCCUACUGAUAGUGAGAUACGGGCCCAGCCCACCCUCACUCCUUUCCUAACUUGGGUCUCGCCCCUGCUCUGCUGCUACUGAGAUGUGGAACACCAUCCACACUCUGCUAUUGGUGAGAUACGGGACCUCGCCCACCCUCACCUCCCUACCAGGCACAUACAAGUAUCACACAGACAACAAGUAUAAACUAUCACAUAAACCAUUCCUUGGGCACCCGCCCUCUAUCAUUGGACCUCGUCCCAAUUAUCAUACUAGCAUACUGUGCCUAGGGCUAACCCCCGGGUCUUCUACUCAUAACUACAUGGGCCGGCAUUGUGGCCGUAGACCCAUUCAUACAAAGGGAAACUCACCUGAUACUAUUGAACUGCUGCUGCUAAUCCCUUUUGGCCGCUACCUGACCACUGACUCCGAACUGCUGCUCCACUAGCUCCCCGAGCUACAAAUAUCAAUACAACACUGAGUCAUACUGACCCCUGACAGACAACCAAGUCAACUCUGGUCAAGUCAAAGUCCUGGUCAAAUUCAACCUUCCAAGUCAACCCUACCCGCCGAGUCCACUUACUGACUCGCCGAGUUCCUAUGCUCAACGUCCAUCUAAUCGCGAUUUGACUCGCCGAGUCUACUGAUUCCCGAAUCCUGGCCUGAUCAACUCACUGAGUCCUUGCUCGACUCGCUGACUCGAGACUUAACUCGAAGGGUUUGGGACCACGCGACCUGACUCGUCGAGUCCAAUAACAGACUCGCCAAACACACGGCAAUCUUCAUCCAACUCGCCGAGUUGUUCAUCCAACUCGCCGAGUUCAUGCCUAUCUUCAUCCGACUCGACGAGCUGUUCAUCCCACUCGUCGAGUUCCUCCUCAUCUUCAAGCUACUCGCCGAGUCCACUCGAAGGACUCGCCAAGUCCAUUCAGAUCUACAUACAUGCAGAGGACUUUCGAGUCAUGCAUGGACUCCAAACUGUAGAUCUACCCUUCCCAAGCCCAUCCCCCACGUAAAGUUGCAAACUUUACGUGUAGAGAGGGAGAUCUAGGCAAAAAGCACCAAAAACUAGGGUUUAAGACCAAGAGGCUCCAUAAUCCACUCAAUGACUGAUACUUUACGGGAUUCUAAACCAAAACAAGCAUGGAUCUGAGGUAGCAACCUCAGAUCUGGACCUCAAGCUCAAGAUUGAUCUUAAACAUGGCCUAAAAGGCCCAAAACUCAUAACCAAGGAAAACCUGGAGGAGAGAAACGACUUAAUACCUUCAAACGCUCCGAAAUGCUCCCCAAACUUCGGAUCCAAGGCCACUCCUUGAUGCUUCAGAGAUUCCCACUCCUUCUUCUUCCUUAAAACCAUUCAAAAAUGGCUAAAAGCUUGAAUGAACACAAUGGAGGCUUAGGGUGCGGCGUUCUGGGUGUGAGAGACAGUAAAGGAGCCCUACGAAGAAGAUUGAGACGUUUAAAUAGGCUCCAAGCCCCGGAUUUAGGGUUUUCCUCGCACAGACCAGACUCGCCGAGUCCACUUGGCCGACUCGCCGAGUUGGUCACUUACUCCUCGACCCGGAUCCCGCUCCGACUCGCCGAGUCCUUCCUUGGACUCGCCGAGUCCCUCUUAAAUUUAGGGUUUCCUUUACUUUCUUGGCUUUCAAAAUCNNNNNNNNNNNNNNNNNNNNNNNNNNNNNNNNNNNNNNNNNNNNNNNNNNNNNNNNNNNNNNNNNNNNNNNNNNNNNNNNNNNNNNNNNNNNNNNNNNNNNNNNNNNNNNNNNNNNNNNNNNNNNAUUUAGGGUUUUCCUCGCACAGACCAGACUCGCCGAGUCCACUUGGCCGACUCGCCGAGUUGGUCACUUACUCCUCGACCCGGAUCCCGCUCCGACUCGCCGAGUUCCUCCUUGGACUCGCCGAGUCCCCCUAAAAUCUAGGGUUUCCUUUACUUUCUGGACUUUCAAGACUUUGGGUGUUACAACUCUCCCCCACUUAAACUAAACUUCGUCCUCGAAGUUUGCUAUGGCCCACCGCCUGAUCAUUCUGACUAGCAUCAAACCUUGCGGAUAAUCUUCUCGAGUUAACCCUGACCCUGAACAUUCUGACAACAUGACUUACUCAACCGACAUUCCUUAUGGUACUCACCGAGUACUGCACUGAACCCGUAGAGGUUCUCCACUUCUUUCCUUGCGCAAUUUCCUUGCCUUCCCAAGGCAAAGCCUCAUAACCGACUUUUUCCCCUGACAUUGUGAAGGUCCUAUCCUUCACUAACUCCAUCACCCCUGCUAUUCCCAGAACGGGUCAUCACCGUUAGUACUCACUGACACCCUUUUCUACCAAAACUUGGUGCCGAGCACCCCUCGAAUCAACCAAAUGAAUUCCACAAUAACCCGCCUUCCCACACUACCACUGACCGGAUAUUCCUGCCAUUCCUCAUCUGCCUUCCGGAUGAUCUGAGACCACUCUGGUCCCUACCAACCUAUCAAUAUCUGGAUUACCGGCUCCCACCGGUAGCUAGUCCCAACACUAUCCCUGGCCGCUCUCAGUGAAUUCCAAAGAAACCUCGACCACCUAUAACUGCUCAAUCAAUUCUGCCAUUCAGGCACUACAAACCUGGGAUCUCCGAUCCCCCAACUUGACACUAAGGUCCCUACCAGGUCCCACCUGCGCUGCUAAAACUUACGGGCCUCUCCCACGGGUCCCACUCGCCUCUAUCCUUCUAGACCCUCUGGUCUAUUCACUCUCGCUUGGGCCUCGCCCACGGGUCCCACCCAACAAUAUUACUGAGCAACCCUGCUCCCAAGUCUCAUCUACACUACUAAUCUCAUACGAGCCUUGCCUACGGGUCUCACCCAACUAUAUAUCCUGGAGCGGCCUCUCCCAAGGUCUCACCUUGCUAGAGCUAUACAGGCAACUCCCUAUCAUUCUCAACUGCUACCCAUCCUGAUCCCCAUCUNAAUACAAAGGCACCCAUGUGCCAUCAGCUCUCGAAAUCCUUACUCCGACUCCCUCGAGUCCUUCAGGCGAUCCACAACCUGAAUUCCAAAUCACGCAUUAACCAUUACCAACACACGCACUAACUGAUGGGGAGUUUCUCAAACUCCCAACCCUGAAUUCUCAAACCAUCAAACGCUGAGCUACUUCUUUUCCUUCUCGGAGGUCACGCACUCAAUCUGGGUCUGUGUGCUCCUCCCCUGGCUUGCUCGAAGGAUUCUCCCCCACUUCGAUCCUGCUUACCCCUUGCUGCUCAAAACUCAAAAAAGACCUCGAUCUUUGCUACCAUUCCAUAAUCCAUCUACUGAGGAACCCAAGCCAGCCAUAUCUAGGGAUUUCACCAAUCCAUCUCUAUCACUGAACCAUUCCGAACUAACAAGACGCACCAAAUCCCUUCCACGCAUGCUACAUUUACUGCUUCCUUUGAAACCUUCUUCAAUAGAGCACAUCCCCUACUACCAUACAAAUAUCCAAGGUAUGCAGAUGGCAUAUAACUCGAUCAAAAUCAACCACUCAAAACAAAUACUCAUACCAAAAUGAUGCGGAACCAUAACAAUAUAAUCAUGCACAAAUAAAGAACUGAAAAUGGAAAUUGCAUACCUGCAAUGUCCAGCGAUGCUCGCGUCUCCAAGGUCGUCAUCUGAAAAGCCCUGCUCCUUGCUGCAGGUGCCUCUACCCGGCCCUGACGGCCAUCCAUGAUCCUCAAGGUUGCAGGGGCGGGUGCCACCACCCGUCCUGCUGAAAACAAAUUGGGGCACUGGGCCUUCUUGUGGCCCCGCUGGUUGCAGUGAAAACAUAACAAAUCGGAUCCCAGUGCGGUGGUAGCAGUACAAUACCUACUGAAAUGACCAGUCCGACCGCACCUGAAACAGCCAGACUCACCACCGCUACCACUCCUGCACGCGCCCCCGUGCGUCCUGCCACACUUCCCGCAUCGACUGCGGUCCUGAUAGUCCCUCGAUCUCGAAUCCGAUCCCUUGGGCCUUUUGCCCGAACCUGUAGCUACCUGAACCUCGUCCGGCUUCCUCUUCCGGAUCUGCUCCAAAUCAAUUUCCCUCUCUCUAGCCCGAGAAAUCAUAUCUUCCAGCGUCUUACAGCUGGACCUGCUCACGAACUCCCUGAUGUCAUCCCUCAACAUCUCAUGGUACCGAGCCUUCUUCAUCUCCUCAUCCGCGACAUACUGCGGUACAAGAAGAGCCCUCUCCCUGAACUUGGCGGUGAUCUCCGCCACAGUCUCAGUAGUCUGCGUCAAAUCCUGAAACUCUCGUGCCAGCUGCUGCACCUCAAUAAUCGGCGAAAACUCCGCCCUGAACCUGGCCGAGAAAUCGCUCCAAGUCAUCGCGUCCAACGCGACAUCAUCCCCCAAAGCAUGACCAAUCUCCUCCCACCAAUCCCUCGCUCUGUCCUUCAGAAGACAGGAGGCGAGUCUAACCUUGUCCCCCUCGGGACACUUGCUCGUACGAAAAGCGUUGGCAACAUCAGCCAACCAUCUGCUGCUAGCAAUGGGGUCCCUAGCCCCAUGAUAGUCUGGUGCCCCGCAGGCUCUGAACUCUCGAAAUGUCAAGGUACGCGCUCCCAUCAAUGCCAUCAUCUCAGUACGGAAGGCUCCCAGCCUCUCCUCCAAGAUCUCCAGUAUGCCCUCCUUGACUGUGCCAAAGAUCACAGGAGUCUGAGCUAGAAUACUGCGCGUAACCUCAGCUGAUAUCAACUCCCUCAUCCGCUCCUCGAGCUGCUCGGUCCCUGAACCCGAGGCUGAUCCCUCUCCGGCGCCUGAUCCGCCCGCUGGUCUCUCUCGCAAUGUCACCAUGCUGAAAAUAUACCACAACCACAAUCAGAAUACUCAUCACUGAUGCGAGACCAAACACACCCCUUACUAGGUUCCCGAUCUUGUCUUAGCCCUUCCUGAAUCAAGUACGGAUCCUCUGCUUUCAGUAGUACGGGCCCAUACUACCUUCCACAUCUAUCCGUACUUUCCUCAGGAAUUGCUUUGACUCCACCAGGUCCCUUAUCCACUAAUACUGCUCCCAACUCUAUCUCAUCCUAGGCUUACCCUAGGGAAACCUCUGACUCAACUCAAACCAGUCCUCAGCUGCUGAAGGUCUCCUUGUGAUGCCAAUUAGCCAUCACCUGGAUACCAUCACAUGCGACGAGGCUCAGAUAAUCCUUCAAGUAAAAGACUCGUCCCUACAACGGUUGGACUCAAACAAGAGCUGCGCAAUAGGACCAAAUCCAGCACUCUGAGAUUAUUCAACCCUGAUCACAUGUGACGUGACGUAUCCACCUAAUGGCUAACUCCCAUCACUCAAAAUCCCAUAAUGCACAAAGCAAGCAGCAUUCGGACAAGGGGAAAAUCUAACCACAACAUACUCAAACAAUCAUAUCCACAUAGCAAGAAUCUGAACUAGCAUGCAACACAAACUCAUAAACUCAGGCAUAACCUAAACAGGCUAUCCUACUACUGUCUAAUCAGCACUAUCAUGCAGCUCAAAAGCACAAAUAACAGGCACAUAAGGCAUCAUUCCUAGAUCCUUAGUCCUAUUCUAGCAUGCUGUUCUAUCAACUGAUAAUCAUAACAUAAACUUGUAUGGGUAUUUUGGGGUACUUACUUGAGCUCGGUUGAUUGCAUGCACCACACCUCUUUUCUCUUUUCAAAGUUCUUUUCUUUCUAAAUUCUUUUUGCUUUUCUAAAACUGUUUUUCGUUCUCAAAAUUCUUUUUACAAAACUGCCUUUUCACUUUUGAAAACUUUUUAUCCGACCCCUCAGUUUGAGUUCAGGCACACCCGAGAGUAUGCCCGAAUCCCUCAAACCAAGGCUCUGAUACCAACUUGUAACAUCCCAAAAUUCAAGACCAAAAAUUUCUUUUUAAUAAAACAUUACUUUAACCAAAGACAUCAUUCCAAAACAUAAUCUGAGUAUAAGUUUUCAAAACACAUGUUUAUUAUCAGAGUAAACAUUCCCAGGUUGACUAAUCUAUGGUGUGUGCCAUGCGAUCACCCCGAGCUCCUCCCUCCGCUACCGGAAGUACCUGAAAACAAAACUGAAAACCGUAAGCACGAAGCUUAGUGAGUUCCCCACCUUACCACAUACCAUGCAUAACCACAUACUGCACAUACUGGGCCACGCCCGCUAUCCGGGGCCUCGCCCCCUACUUCGGGCCUCGCCCGCUACAACGGCCCCGCCGCUCCAAGCCCCGCCUGGCUUCGAGCCCCGCUCGGAUACAGAUCUGUUUCACUUAG